ensembl:piRNA 21ur-5048 ncRNA
UCGGGCCUUGAGUUUCUUUAA